rnacentral:rRNA from 1 species
UACGUAGGGGGCAAGCGUUGUCCGGAUUUAUUGGGCGUAAAGAGCGUGUAGGCGGCUAGGUAGGUCCGUUGUGAAAACUCCAGGCUCAACUUGGAGACGCCACCCGAUACUGCUCUGACUUGAGUUCGGUAGGGGAGUGGGGAAUUCCUGGUGUAGCGGUGAAAUGCGCAGAUAUCAGGAGGAACACCGGUGGCGAAGGCGCCACUCUGGGCCGAAACUGACGCUGAGGAGCGAAAGCGUGGGUAGCAAACAGG